AAAACUAGCCAGUCCUUUGGGCAUGAAACCCAUUUGGGCGUGAGUAGUACUAGGAUGGGUGACCUCCUGGGAAGUCCUCGUGAAAGGGUUUC
rnacentral:rRNA from 1 species